UUUAUUGUCUUUAUCUCCUUCUCUCCUACCCUCAAACCACCACAAAUCUCUCUUAAGCCACCACGAUUCUAUCUCUUAAUCCACCACGAAUCUCUCCUUCCAUCUCAAACCACCACAAAUCUGUGUAAGCCACCACGAUUCCAUCUCAUACCAUCACAAAUCUCUCCGACCUUCUCCACCGCCACCAAUUAGGUUACAGAGUUCUCUGUCCUUACAGAUCCACAAAGAUUUGAAGCCUUACAGAUCUCAAAGAUAUCUCAAUUUCCAGCAACUCUAAUGGAAGCAAGGAAGGUCAUCGUCUGUGCACUCCCGGCAGCCGGAGUGAAACCACAACUCAAACCAGAACAGACACAACAAGAAGCAGUCAACACAGCUCCACCACAACGAGGACAGUCCUCACGAGGAAAUGAUGUAGAUGAGAUAACCAGAGCCGAGUUCAGAAGCUACCGAUUGAUACGCAUUGAGGAACCUGAAGAAGACAUCGACCCAGACUACCUGCGCUAUCUCCGAGCAAUAGGUGCCUACGACUCUGCUUCACCACAACAAGGACGGUCCUCAGGAGGCAAUGGUCGUCGCUAAAACAUCGACCCAAUCUUCCUGCAACUCACAAUCCAUGGGUUCUCGUCACUACUAUAAUUACCAUUGCUUCAGUAUGUUGUAUUUGCUUAAGUAUGUUUUGUUAAUUUGCUUCAG